UGACAUUUGAACAAAGGCUGGAAAAAAGUGAAGGGGUAGCUGUGCAGGUAUGUUGGGAAGAACAUUCAUUUAUUGGCUGAACUACUUAUAAAAGAUAUGCUUCUCUUCAUCUACUAUUUGGUUACCUUGGGGUUUAGAGGGGGCAAUAUAGGGGUAGGGGAGUGGGAGGCACAGACUACUGGGUAUAAGACAGGCUCAAGGCUGUAUUGUACAACACGGGGAAUAUAGCCAACAUUCUGUAAUAACUGUAAAUGGAAGGUACCCUUUUAAAAUUGUAU